UCCCAGGUGGCUUAGUGGUAAAGAAUCUGCCUGCAAUGAAGGAGAUCCAGGUUCGAUCCCUGGGUGGGGAA
rnacentral:tRNA from 1 species